AAGAAUACCUUUGAAAUUGUUGAAGAAUAAAAUAAAAAGAAAUGAAUAAUUGUUGACUGAAAAAAUGAGUCGAAAGUAAAAUAGAAUAAAAUUUAUUCACAAAGUGUUUGACGUACCAUUGCUCUAGAUACAAUUGGAGGAUAACGUUUUAUUCGUGACACGUGACAACUGUAUAUGCAGAUACCGAUAGCACGCUCUUCUCCGGUACUUCAGAUUGAUUAACAGAGGUAAAAGAGUAAAACGAGCGGAAAAAUUCAGAAAACCUAUGCAUGAACAAUUAUAGCCGAGUGUCGUUGAUUGAUUCGAGAGCUUUAAAGAGAUUAAUGAUCGCAAAUGCUUCACUGUUCUAGAAAUUGUUUUCCUUUCGUGUCAACCAUGUUCUAACAAAUUCGAUAUGCAUGCAUAUCACAUUAAAUAUAUAUGCAGGAACGAAUAUAUGAAUAGCAUAUCACAAACAUUUGUAUAGUUUUAUAUAUAUAUACAUAUAAAUGUUAUACAUAAAACGCUUUGCAAUCGUCAAACAAAAAGCAAAAGCAUGUAGUAAAAAUAUGUGCCAUAAAAUUCGCACUAAAAAAAAAGAAGAGAGAGAGAGAGAAAAAGUAUACAUCCACUUUGAAAGAACGCAAUUUAAUCCUGUAUAUCGAGAAAAUAGCGAAAAGAUCGACGAACGAUAAAUUUCGAUUAUUUUUAUUUUUUCGCGAAAUUAAAUAUUUUUAUAUUUCGAAUUCAUAUUUCGAAAUACAUCUGUCGUUCAUCGAAUUUUGAAAAAAUCUGCAAUUUUAAAAAAUUUAAAUGUAAGAGUAUAUAAAUAUUCAUAUAUAAGAUGUUUAAAAAAAUCGUGACAUGAACGAAAAAAAGUUUAUUCCAGACUUAAAAGUGAAUGGAAACAUAUCAAAUCUAUUCGUACGCCAAUCGAAAUGCCGUGAAAAUGGCCAGUUUGUAAUUGGGUUUGGUAUCACGCGUUAUCUGGCUCAACCGUUUCAUUUAUUGACAAUAAAUCUGAUAGGAAUAAAAAGAAUUUGUUUGAAUUGAACUCGGUUUCGAUUUGUUUGAGGAUCCUCUUUGAUGAGAUCAUCGAUUUCAUUCGCUAGUAUAAUUAAGUACUUAUAUUACUGACCAUGUACGUCUGCUCCAAUUCGGAAUGCAGGAAGCGCGAAUGAUUUAGUGGAGCCUAUAUUAGUAGACACUUGACAGAGUCUAGUGGAAAAGCUUAAUGGCUCUCGUGAUCGGAAGAGAAGUGGUGAGAGGGGGCGAAAAAAAGGAAACCGCUUUACCGAUGUUGCAUCACGCCAUGAUUUUUAUCGAGUGCCUCGUUUUACGAGUGCUAUUUCGAGUGCUCGUUCGGUGACGAGGUGGAAGAAAAGAAUAAAAGUGCGCGAAAGAUACGGAGAAGGGAAAGAGAAGCGACAAGCAAAUAAAUUUCUUGGAUAUUAGAUUCGAACCGAAUAUAAAAACAGUCGUUCAUCGCGAGUAUUAAAAGAUGUUACUACCGUUCUCGAUAUCAUUGUAGAUAUGUAACAUUUGUUCAAUUCGUAUGACCAAUAACGAUCACUGUGAACUGUUAUCUCUGUAGAAUUUAUCUUGAAAUCUAUCGUGUCGUAAUUUUAUUACAUCUCGUAUUGAAAUAUUUUUCUUUCGUCCUAUUUUUUUUUUUUUUUUUCUUCUAUUCUUUUAAACAUGAAAUAUGGAAAAGUGAACAGAUUACUCGACUACUAUAAAAAGUAAGGUUAUAAUUCAAGAAAAGUUGAGAAAUAUUAUAAUAAUACAGUGCUAAGUAAUUAUGUACUUUGUAUCCUUUAACAAUAUCCUUGAUGUACGCGUUAAUUAAUAUGAUAAUAUAAUACUAUAGUAAUAACAGUAUUAGCAUGUCGACUAAGUACAUUGCAGAUUCUAUGCAAAUUAGUAUCUUUAUGAGUGCAGGAAAGAAAUGGAACCUAGGUAGAGAUUUGUUUCAUCCUUGAAAUAUUAUACCACAGCACUUUAUUUUCGGUAUAUUUUUGCAUCAUUAUAUGCACAUUUCAUACAUAUAUAAAUUUCUCAUAAAUGCACAUAUACAUAAUAUCUAACAUAAUACCUAAUCUGCUUAUAAGUAGCUUCCCCUUAAACAUAAUGAAAUAACUUGCGGCUGACCUACUAUACGUGCCACCAGAGGGACCUCGCACACCGAAACACAAUUCUCUUAGCUGUCCUUUUCCUACAAAUACUUGACCUAAUCUUUAUUACUUAGAACUUAGUAGCACGUAUCUUCCUUAUAUACAUCAUCUUUUCUUUCUUUUAAAUCUUCGCUAUUAUACAAAGAGGAAUAUAAUAAUUAUUAUUUUAAAAGUUAUAUUCUGUUUCUAAUUUAAGUUAUACAGAACCAAGUGUGAGAUUUCUCAAAGUCACUCUGAAAAUUUAAACUGGAAUUAGCAGUAGCGGUAUAUGAGAAUGUUACAGGUAUAUGUACUUAUGUGUUACUGCAGUUGAAAUUCUCCAAACUUUCCAGUAUGUGUAGCAAUAAGUACUUAUAAUGUUAUGUCCCUGUUUCAAUCUUCAGUAACUAAAACAUAAUGCUAACUAACUCGUUAUUAUUAACAAUCUGUUGCUAUUAUUAUUAUUAUUAAAAUUAUUAAAAUUAAUUUUAUUACCAUGAUUAAUACAUUCCUUAUAAAAAAAAAAAACUCGUUACUUAUAUAAAAAUUACUAGAAUUCUAAAAUUCUCUAGAAAAACUUUUUCUUCGAUAAAUACCAAUAAUACAUAAAUUUAUACAUUUUUGUGCACUUUUCCAUCCUUCUCUACCCACAAAUAGAAAACUUCGCAUGAUAAAUGUCAUCCAUGCUUCAUCCAGGCUACGAGUAAAUCGUACACAGUUCGCAGCCGCUACGUAUAAUAACUCUGAAACAGAGAGAAGUAUUUCACUGCGAGCCUAUCGCUGCGUUGGGACAAAUAUCGUGUUUGUCCAACUUCGAGCCGAGAAAUAACAAGAAGAAUUUUAUUUGUCCCUCGGCCUUAUUUGGAACCAUUGAACCGCGAUAUCUCUCGUGUUCGACAAGGCGGGAGUGGGAGGGAAGGUUGAGUGGAGGGGAUAAGGCAUUGCGCCGCGCAAACUUUGCUAAUUUCUUGAAACUCGUGAAACUUCCUUUGGUUACACGAUACUCUUAAUUCACUUGCCCGAGUUUAAACAUUCCCUCGCAUUUAGCCGCAGUACGGACGCAGUAGGAAUUCAAUAAACAAGUUACACGCCGCUUUCUCCUUUGAUUUCGAAUUUCCUUUCGAUCGCGUGAAUUAAUUAAGGCCACAGGAAAUUAAUUAAGGGGGUUCGCGUCCUCUGGUCGUCUCACGCGCUAUUUUAAAUUGAAAACUUUGCUCCUCCAAGUUCCUCGCGCAUAUUACGCGUCUUACGAAUGUUCCACGGUUCUUGUUUCAAAUUCGUGGAAACUGUGUGACUGCUUUUAUUAUUAUAUGCUAUCAUGGAUUAAAUUACAUUGUAUUACUAUGUAGAGAAAGAUGUUGUUUAAAUAACGUUAAUAUUGAAUGUUUUCUUUAAUAGGCCAGAAAAUAAAUGUAAAAAUUAUAUUAAUAA
rnacentral:lncRNA from 1 species